GGUGAACGCUGGCGGCGUGCUUAAGACAUGCAAGUCGAACGGGCUCUUCGGAGCCAGUGGCGCACGGGUGAGUAACGCGUAACUGACCUACCCCAAAGUCGCGGAUAACAAUUCGAAAGAAUCGCUAAUACGUGAUGUGCUGUCAGAUCUUGUUCUGCCAGUAAAGAUUUAUUGCUUUGGGAUGGGGUUGCGUUCCAUCAGCUAGUUGGUGGGGUAAAGGCCCACCAAGGCGACGACGGAUAGCCGGCCUGAGAGGGUGGCCGGCCACAGGGGCACUGAGACACGGGUCCCACUCCUACGGGAGGCAGCAGUUAGGAAUCUUCCACAAUGGGCGAAAGCCUGAUGGAGCGACGCCGCGUGAGGGAUGAAGGUCUUCGGAUCGUAAACCUCUGAAUCAGGGACGAAAGACACUUUAUGUGGGAUGACGGUACCUGAGUAAUAGCACCGGCUAACUCCGUGCCAGCAGCCGCGGUAAGAC
rnacentral:rRNA from 1 species